rfam:Orchesella cincta Ocin01_Sc4169, whole genome shotgun sequence.
GCCAACGGCCAUACCACGUUGAACACACCAGUUCUCGUCCGAUCACUGAAGUUAAGCAACGUCGGGCCCGGUUAGUACUUGGAUGGGUGACCGCCUGGGAACCCCGGGUGCUGUUGGUA